rnacentral:pre_miRNA from 1 species
CAGCUGUGGGCUCAGAAGCAGAACUCUGGGUCGUCUCCACCAUGGCCUGGACCCCUCCCCUGCUCAUCCUCCUCACUCUCUGCACAGGUGC